UACGAGUGCUCCAAGCGUUAUCCGGAAUCAUUGGGCGUAAAGGGUGUGUAGGUGGUAGUGUUAGUCUUCUGUUAAAUUCUUCGGCUUAACCGGGGGCAUGCAGGGGAAACGGCACAACUAGAGGAUGCGAGAGGAACAUGGAACUCAUGGAGUAGGGGUGAAAUCCGUUGAUAUCAUGGGGGAACAUCGAAAGCGAAGGCAAUGUUCUGGCGCACUCCUGACACUGAAACACGAAAGCGUAGGUAGCGAAAUGGG
rnacentral:rRNA from 1 species